rnacentral:rRNA from 1 species
UACAGAGGGUGCAAGCGUUGUUCGGAAUUAUUGGGCGUAAAGGGCGCGUAGGCGGUGCUGUAAGUCUGUAGUGAAAUCUCUGGGCUCAACUCAGAGUCUGCUAUAGAAACUGCAGUGCUGGAGUGUGGGAGAGGUGAGUGGAAUUCCCGGUGUAGCGGUGAAAUGCGUAGAGAUGUGGAGGAACACCAGUGGCGAAGGCGACUCUUUGGCCUGUAACUGACGCUGAGGCGCGAAAGCGUGGGGAGCAAACAGG